rnacentral:pre_miRNA from 1 species
UAUUAAAUUUUUUUUCUAUUUCUACAGUUAAAAAUUAGUAUAAUUGAUGAAAUAACCAAGCAGUUACCCGUGUCGCACUAUGUGUAUUUCAUGCUAUUGUAAAGGAAUCAACUUUUAAUACUAAAAAUGAAAGAAAUUUUUAACA